AUUUUUUGUGGAAUUAACAGGGAGGAGAAGUAAUCCAGGAGACAAUAACAUCAAACUUGUUGGAUGAUUAUAUCAUAUUGGAGUUCCAGCGCACUGAUGGUACACUAGUAACACAACUGAUAGAUUUUCGAAAUGAAGUUCAAGUUUUGAAAGCGCUUGUGCUCGGUGAAGAGGAGCGGGGCCAAAGUCAAUAUCAAGUUAUGUGUUUUGUAUCAAGACUGUCAAAAGGUGAUUUUAUUUCAACCGAUGCGAUAUCUAAACUCCGACAG